rnacentral:rRNA from 1 species
UACAGAGGUCUCAAGCGUUGUUCGGAUUUACUGGGCGUAAAGGGCGCGUAGGCGGCGGGUCAAGUCGAGUGUGAAAGCCCCGGGCUCAACCUGGGAGGUGCGCUCGAGACUCUGGUGCUGGAGUUCGGGAGAGGAGCGUGGAAUUCCCAGUGUAGAGGUGAAAUUCGUAGAUAUUGGGAAGAACACCAGUAGCGAAGGCGGCACUCUGGGCCGGUACUGACGCUGAGGAGCGAAAGCGUGGGGAGCGAACAGG